CAGCCGUAAACAAUGUGCGUUAGGUGUGUCGGUAACCACGCGUUACUGAUGCGCCGAAGAGAAAUCGUGAAACGCACCACCUGGGAAGUACGGUCGCAAGGCUGAAACUUAAAGGAAUUGGCGGGGGAGCACCACAACAGGUGGAGCCUGCGGUUUAAUUGGAUUCAACGCCGGACAUCUCACCGGGUAAGACAGCUGAAUGAUUGUCAAUCUGAAGGUUUUACAUGACUAGCUGAGAGGAGGUGCAUGGCGUCAGUGACU
rnacentral:rRNA from 1 species